GACGAACGCUGGCGGCGUGCCUAAUACAUGCAAGUCGAACGCAGUGGGGACGGGUGAGUAACAUGUGGGUAACCUCCCAUCAGAGGGGAUAACACUUGGAAACAGGUGCUAAACCGAUACUGAUGGAUGGACCCGCGGGGCAUUAGCUAGCUGGUGAGGUAACGGCUCACCAAGGCCACGAUGCAUAGCGGACCUGAGAGAGUGAUCAGCCACACAGGGACUGAGACACGGCCCAGACUCCUACGGGAGGCAGCAGUAGGGAAUAUUGUGCAAUGGACGAAAGUCUGACGGAGCAACGCCGCGUGAGUGAAGAAGGUUUUAGGAUCGUAAAGCACUGUUGGUAGAGAAGCGGUAUCUAACCAGGAAGCCACGGCUAACUACGUGCCAGCAGCCGCGGUAAUUC
rnacentral:rRNA from 1 species